rnacentral:rRNA from 1 species
UACGCAGGCGGUUUGUUAAGCGAGAUGUGAAAGCCCCGGGCUCAACCUGGGAACUGCAUUUCGAACUGGCAAACUAGAGUGUGAUAGAGGGUGGUAGAAUUUCAGGUGUAGCGGUGAAAUGCGUAGAGAUCUGAAGGAAUACCGAUGGCGAAGGCAGCCACCUGGGUCAACACUGACGCUCAUGUACGAAAGCGUGGGGAGCAAACGGGAUUAGAUACCCCGGUAGUCCACGCCGUAAACGAUGUCUACUAGAAGCUCGGAACCUCGGUUCUGUUUUUCAAAGCUAACGCAUUAAGUAGACCGCCUGGGGAGUACGGCCGCAAGGUUAAAACUCAAAUGAAUUGACGGGGGCCCGCACAAGCGGUGGAGCAUGUGGUUUAAUUCGAUGCAACGCGAAGAACCUUACCUACACUUGACAUACAGAGAACUUUCUAGAGAUAGAUUGGUGCCUUCGGGAACUCUGAUACAGGUGCUGCAUGGCUGUCGUCAGCUCGUGUUGUGAGAUGUUGGGUUAAGUCC